rnacentral:rRNA from 1 species
ACGGGGACCCGCACAAGCGGUGGAUGAUGUGGAUUAAUUCGAUGCAACGCGAAAAACCUUACCUACCCUUGACAUGUUCAGAACCCUCGAGAGAUUGAGGGGUGCCCGAAAGGGAGCUGGAACACAGGUGCUGCAUGGCUGUCGUCAGCUCGUGUCGUGAGAUGUUGGGUUAAGUCCCGCAACGAGCGCAACCCUUGUCAUUAGUUGCCAUCAUUUAGUUGGGCACUCUAAUGAGACUGCCGGUGACAAACCGGAGGAAGGUGGGGAUGACGUCAAGUCCUCAUGGCCCUUAUGGGUAGGGCUUCACACGUCAUACAAUGGUCGGUACAGAGGGUUGCCAACCCGCGAGGGGGAGCUAAUCCCAGAAAGCCGAUCGUAGUCCGGAUCGCAGUCCGCAACUCGACUGCGUGAAGUCGGAAUCGCUAGUAAUCGCGGAUCAGCAUGUCGCGGUGAAUACGUUCCCGGGUCUUGUACACACCGCCCGUCACACCACGGGAGUCGAUUGGUCCCGAAGUGCGUGAGCUAACCCCUUGUGGGAGGCAGCGUCCUAAGGAAUGGUCGGUGACUGGGGUGAAGUCGUCCCAAGGUAACCGUA